AGUUGUUCUGCUGAGGCAGUUACAUCAAUUUGUGACAUCAACUCUAGAAAUGGCCGUGGAAGAAACCGAAGAGCUGAAGACUCAACUUGCGGUGAUGAAGCUUGACUUCGACAAGCGGUUUAAGGAAAUGGACAAGGAGAUUGUCAAAUUGUUUCAAAAAACCAAGGCUCUGGAGCGAAAAGUGCAACAGCUGACCGAAAAGCUGAAGAACAAAGAGAAGGAAAAGGAAAGGCAGCUGGAUUCAGAGCAGCCACUGAGUGAGAUGUCUCUCCUAAAAUGUUUCACCAUAGGCUUCGGCAUAGGCCUUGCAUGUGUUGUAGUACUCGAGACCGGUCUUGAUGUCGAGAUCGGUUUCAAGAGCAUUUUUUGAUGGUCUCGGGCAUCGACCACUCAGGAUUUUAUUACAACUGCGGAAAUAUCAUAAAAUUGCCAGCAUAUUGUCCGUCUGAAUUAGUUGCCUAUUAUUUAAAUAGUUGAAUAAUCA